UACGUAGGGGGCAAGCGUUGUCCGGAAUCACUGGGCGUAAAGAGCGUGUAGGCGGCUCGGUAAGUCCGCUGUGAAAGUCCAGGGCUCAACCCUGGAAUGCCGGUGGAAACUGUCGAGCUAGAAUCCGGAAGAGGCGAGUGGAAUUCCUGGUGUAGCGGUGAAAUGCGUAGAUAUCGGAAGGAACACCUGUGGCGAAAGCGGCUCACUGGACCAUUACUGACGCUGAGGCACGAAAGCUAGGGGAGCAAACAGG
rnacentral:rRNA from 1 species